rnacentral:rRNA from 1 species
UUUCGCAAUGCCCGAAAGGGUGACGAAGCGACGCCGCGUGCGGGAAGAAGGCCUUCGGGUUGUAAACCGCUGUCGGGAGUUAGGAAGUGCAAGGAUGUUAAUAGCAUUCUUGCUUGACUAAGGCUCCGGAGGAAGCCACGGCUAACUCUGUGCCAGCAGCCGCGGUAAUACAGAGGCGGCAAGCGUUGUUCGGAAUUAUUGGGCGUAAAGAGCACGUAGGCGGCUGUGUAAGUCGGUUGUGAAAGCCUUCCGCUUAACGGAAGAACGGCAUCCGAUACUGCAUAGCUUGAGUGCGGGAGGGGAGAGUGGAACUUCUGGUGGAGCGGUGAAAUGCGUAGAUAUCAGAAGGAACACCGGCGGCGAAGGCGACUCUCUGGUCCGUAACUGACACUGAGUGUGCGAAAGCUAGGGGAGCAAACGGGAUUAGAUACCCCGGUAGUCCUAGCCGUAAACGAUGGGCACUAAGUAGAGGGGUUUU